rnacentral:misc_RNA from 1 species
UCUCCGUAGGUGAACCUGCGGAGGGAUCAUUACUGAGUGAGGGCCUCCCCGGCCCGACCUCCAACCCUUUGUGAACACAACUUGUUGCUUCGGGGGCGACCCUGCCGUUUCGACGGCGAGCGCCCCCGGAGGCCUUCAAACACUGCAUCUUUGCGUCGGAGUUUAAGUAAAUCUAAAACAAACUUUCAACAACGGAUCUCUUGGUUAUGGCAUCGAUGCAGAACGCAGC